AUAAAGAAUACACAAGUCUAAAGAAAUGAUACAUGCACUGUAACAAAUUUCUGUAGUUUUCACAGUAUUACUACUGUAGAAUGAUAAAAUUCUUACUGUAGAACCUGUACACAGCAUUUUACUGUAGAUCUGCAAAGGAUCAUGGUCAAGAUUCAGUGGUGGGCGAAUUCUACAGUAAGCAUAUUUCUGCUGUGAAUCACAAUACGUUACCGUGAGGCAUGUGUAAGUAGCCUACUGAAGUGGACCAAAGCAAAACAGAGCCCCAAAACAGUCCAGGGAAGAAAACUUUAGCCCAAGAUGUGGAUAACAGCAAAUGUAAAACGAAGCACUUGCACAUUUUUGUUUUUGUUCAGAACAGCUGUGUUUAUAAAAAUAUGAAUUUAUUUAUUUAAUUAUCUAUGUAUUUUCAAAAACAUGAAAUUCAAUAAAUGAUUUUUUGUUACAAA